GUGAGUGACCAUACCACGUUGAAAGCACCGGUUCUCGUCCGAUCACCGCAGUAAAGCAACAUUGGGCCCGGUCAGUACUUGCAUGGGUGACCGUCUAAGGAUACCAGGUGUCGCUAGCU
rnacentral:rRNA from 1 species